AAAUUUCCAAAAAGGUGACCACAGGGAGAAAAACAUGAAGAUAACCACCAGCUCAGACCCAGCCGGGGCUUGUGGCCAUGCCCACCUGCUCCUGUGUGUCCUGGGCCUCGGGCAAGCCACUCAUCCUCUCCCCACUGUUUCCAGUCUGUAAGCUGGGAUUAGUGACGCUGCCUUCUCAGUUGUGGGAACCUAGAAGGCAGCAAUGGGCCUCUCUCCCUAGGUUGCAACCCGGGGCUGGCACGUAGUAGGUCUGUUUCCAGCUGCCACACACGCUACCUUACCAGGGGUCCCCAAGAGACAGGACAGGGUGAUGGGCCCAUUUCACAGGGGGAAAAACCGAGGCAAAGAAAGGCAGUGGAGACUCGUGCUUCUGCUUCAGUAGCUCCUGCCAUGGACUUGUCAUGGGAACCCCCUCCCACAAGCUCUGUCCCCGGCACCCUCUGGCACUGUUAGCCAGCGGAAUCCAGCUGUCACCAUGGCCUGGUUCUUAGCACCCCUGGGAACUUUUAGAGCCUCUGGCCUGUGCUAACUGAGGUUGGGCAGCUGCUGGCCAGGGCCCUAGAGAGAGGGGUAUCAGGUAGCUAGUGCUGAGUAACAAAUAGCUCCAAACACAUGACUUCACAUGUCCUUAGUAUUAAAGGGCCUGGUGGUACUGCUGCUCAUUGCUAGGCCUGGCAAGUCCUAGCUGGGCUCACUCACACAUCUGUGGGCAGCUGGGAGCUAGCUAGUCCAGGAUGGCCUCAGCUAGGGUGACCCAGGCUCCAUCGCCCUCUUGCCUUCCAGCAAAGCAGCCCAGCCCGUUCUCGUGCUAUAGCAGGAGUCGGGGAGAGCAGGCAGAGGCACGCAUGUCCCUGGAGGCUUAAGCUCAGAGCUGGGAAUGUCAUUGCUGUCACCUUUUAUUGGCCACAGCAAGUCAUAAGACAGGCUCAGAUUGAAGGAUGGGGAAGUAGACGCCACCUCUAGACAGGAGUUGGGGCAAAGUCACACAGCAAAGGGCGUGGUGAUUCAGGGAGGAGUGGGGCAUCGGGGACACGUUUGUAACUGAUCUACCACAGAGGGGAGCCCCCCUUUGAGAAAGUGCUUGGUGGGCCUUGGUGCUUACGCAGCCACGGACCAACCUGCUAGAUGGGGCCUUCAGUAGGGUGGCGGGACGUCAGUUUAGCCUCAGGAUUCGACUCCGAGCCUCUUGCGAGACCACGUCUUGGGCAGCAUCGUAGACCCGGCUGUGAGCACAGAGUGGCUCUUCCAGAAAGUUUGUUGAAUGACUGACUGACCUAAGUCAGUCCCUGUGCCAGGCAGCCCAGAGGGACCAGCCCAGAGCCUCCUUCUCGGGGUGCAAGCCUGGCUUGGGAUUGGGGGGUGUCUGCACUCGUGGAGCCCCCCAUGCCUGCCGGGAGCCUGAAGACGCAGAGACCUCCUGCCUCGCCUCGCCCCCUCCGUGGGGACCCUCUUCCCCACACUCCUUGGUUCCUGUCGGAGCCAAGAUGUGUCACCAUGGAAACCGCUUGGCAAACGCUGGCAGGCAGAGGCGGCCAACAGCAGCUCUCCCGAUCGAGCUCCGGGCACCGGCUGGAGCAACGUCGCGGGACGGCGUGAGCGAGCACACCCAGCCGUGUGUGACACGCGUGGGGACAGAGGCCGGGGCGGCUGCGGGAGGGCGUGCGGGGAGGUGCUGACAGGACCGGCAGAGGUGGCCACUGCCCUCGUCCCCAGCCUGCACUCCUGGGCGAAGGCUGACGCUGAACAGGUACUUGUAAGAGUCGCCGAAGUGCGUGCCGGGAGGGUUCUGGGAAGAGGCAGCUGUGGGGCCUGAAGCCUAAAUGUGGGGUGGGAGGCAUCCAGGCUGCGGCUCCAGGCAGAGGGCACAGCCCGGCUGUGAGCCACCACGCCUGGCCCCAAGGGCCUUCCUGUGUGUCCAAUUCUGGGCUCAGAAGCAGGGGGUCACCCUGCAGAAUAUCUAAGAAGGCUGAGGCUGUGUGGGCACAUGGACCCAGCAGGGAACAAGACUUGCCCAUUGUUCUGACAGACUCGAAGAUGGAUCUGGCCCUGGUCCCUGCUUUCCCUCUGACCCCAGGCCCACCCGGCAAGAAUGGCUGAAGUCACAUAGCAGCCUGGCCCUGGCCCCUCUGAGCCUGUGGAGAGCCCUAGUUGUCUGUGAUUGGGGAGGGGGGAUCAAGAGACCCAACUGCAUUGCCUGCCCUCCUUCCCAGGCUUCCAGUCCUCCCAGUGGAUCCCACCUCUGCACCUUUGCCCAGGCUGUGCUGAGACCUGGAAGGCCCCUUCUCUCCCUACUCCAUCUUGACAAAGCCUUCCUGCUUCAGCUCAGAGGCACCUCUUCCAGGAAGUUGGCCCUGAUGGCCCCAGUGGAAGGGAAGUUCCUUUCAACUGAGUGGGGAGGCGCCCCACCCUAGCAGCCCCUCCCAGACCCCAAGCAGCCUUGGGGCUCCCCAGGCACUCGCCUGGCAGAACGGAAGCAGGGGUGGCGGCUGAGGUCUGCCACCCUCGCUGAGCGCCCUGCAGCCCCUGUGGUUGCAGUUUUACUUGUUUUGAAAGCCCCAUUAAUGAUCAGAAGUUUGGGAAAGGGGGCCUGGCUGGGCUAGACUGGGGGGACAUGGAGCCCCAGGGACCAGCCAGGCCCCUUUCUGACCAGACCUCUAAUCUGAUGUGAUGGCACCACUGGUGGGUGGGACACAGCUGUCCCCAGAAUGUACCUGGGGGAGGAAUGACUUCACCUCCCCUGCCGGGUGAGUCACCUUCUGGGGGGUGGGGGGGCGGUGGAUGGAAGAGGUCAGGCUGCCUCAUUCCCCUAAGACACUGCUGGGCCUGCUUCCCCUUUUGAGGGCAGAGAAACGUCCCUCCCUCAGCUUGGAAGAGGAAGGGGCCAGAUGCGCUGUCCUGUGCACCUUCCAAAACACCCCCUGACCUCCAGCACCCGGGGACUGCAUUUACCUUUGUUCCCAUUUGUCAGAUGGAGAGGUCGAGGCCUCGGGAGGAGCCGGGCUUCCUCCCCACCCCACUUCUUGCUCCUCUGCUCUCCCCGAUGCCCACUUAGCCCCCACUCCCACCCCGCUCCACACACAGGGACAUAUGAACAUUAAUGGGGACUCCCCAAGCCCUGGCAGGGCCCCCACAGCUGUAUCCAUGGGUCUGUCCGACCCCUGGGUCCAGCCACACCUCUGCCCCCGGGGCCCCACCAGCUCUGUGGGGAGGCGAUGCCAGCUGCAGGCGGGGACAGCGUCGGGGCCAGGGCAGAAGGCCCCAAGCCUCUGAGUCAGCCGGGCAGGAAGGAGGCCAGCAGCCUCUGCCCGCAGCCUGUUCCGUCACGACCCCCCCGCCCCACCCCAGAGUCUCAGCUUCCUCGUUCAGAAGAGGGGCCUAUGCCGUCCUAUGAGAAGUGGGUGGGCACAUGGUGGGUGCUCAGGGAGGACCACAGCCACCCAGACGGGGGUCAGGCCACGUGACGGUGAGGGCCCUCCAUCCUCCCGCCAUCCCCAUCACUGUCCACACCCCCCAGGCAGCUGCUCUGCUGACUCAGGACCGUCCAAGGCCAAGGUGGGGUCACAGCCCUGCCAGCCGCCCCCAAGGCCAGGGUAGCCCCCAGCCAGGCUUAGAGUAAGGGGGUCUCUGCAGGCCCAUUCAGCACGUCAGCACUCUUCUGGAGGGGGCAGCGACGGGGGAGGGCAAGGCACCCCCCCAUAGAGAGGCACUUUUCACAGUGUGUCGUCUCCUUGGAGCAGAGUGGGGGGUGCAGAGGCACCAGGAGGGGGACCUGGAGCCCUGGGGUCGGGGGAAGCAGGGUCAGGCCAGAGCAGGAACUUGCAAGGGGCGCGGCCAGGGCAGUGCCAGGCCAAGGGUGUAAGCCCCAGGGAAGGGGUGGGGGCUCAUGGUGAAGAGGAAGUGAGCCGCCCCGGGGCUGCCAGGAGGGUGAGGGGAGGGAAUCCCCGCAGAGGCUGCAGCACCCGUCCCCUACUCAGUCACCCUCAAAGGCUGGAUUUGAGGAAGGAAAAGCACCGCAGAGCUGCUGUAUUUAAAAAACAAGCGUCUGGAUCUCUGCAGGGGCUGGGAC
rnacentral:lncRNA from 10 species